AUACUAACCUGGUAGGAGAGGUACCAUGAUCACAAAUAUGGUUUUCCCAGGAUGAGGCUUAUCCAUUGCACUCUGGAUGUACCGAACCCUGCAUUUUCCCCAAAUGCGGGAAACUUGACUGCAUAAUUAGUGGUAGUGGGGUACUGCAUUUGCACUCUCCUU